AUGAGUCGCGACAUAAAAAAAAAAAAAAAAAGCGGUGAAUCAUUUAUGCGCAAAUAUGGUAACGAAUGUACAAAUAAUAGCGACAGUAAUAUAUAUAGUAGUAAUGGUACUAGUAAAUCGGAUAACACUAAUAAAUUCGUAAACACAAGUAAAUAUAGUGACACAAGCAAAUACAGUGACACAAGCAAAUACAAUAACAAUAACAGCAAUAUGAAUGUUAGGAAGAGUAAAUUACUUGAGAACGAAAAUGCAUAUAAAUUUAGUGCAAGUACAAAAAGUUUUAAAAGAUUAGGGAAUUCGUACAUGAGGAAAGAUAGUCACCACAUGUCGAUGAACAAGUACGAUCAUAAUACUGUUGAUGCGCGUUAUCAAAAAUUAAAAAAUGAAAAAUAUAAAAAUCAUACCAAUACUGACAUAAAUGGUGUCAAUACUAACAUAAAUGAUACCCAAAAUGAAAUCAGCGGUGUCAAUAGUAACACACAUGGUACCCAAAAUGACCUAAAAAGUGUCAAUAGUAACAUACAUGAUACCCAAAAUGACAUAAAAAAUGUAAAUAGUAACAUAAGUGAUACCAAUAGUAACAUAAAAAGUGUCAAUACUAACAUAAAUAACAUUAAGAGUAAUAGCUACAGUAAUAAUCAUAAUGAUGUACAUUCAAUGAGCCUACUUAAAGCAACAAGCGAUGAAAACGAGUUAUCGAAAAAUGAUAAAAUCGAAAAAAGGAAUAAAAAAAAAAAUAAUUAUUAUAAAAUAGAUUAUGAAAAUGCGUUGGAGAAAAAUAAUCACCUCGACAAUCAACUUGACAUUCACCUCAAUAGUCACUCCAAAAGUCAUCGCUAUAGUCAUCACAUUAGUCACCGCAUUAGUCACCGCAACAGUAGCCGCAACGUUCACUCCAUUAAUCACCUCAAUAAUUACCUGAAUAAUAAUUAUUCAUCAGGUUGUGAUAUGGGUAAUAUUACAACAAAAGAUAAUGGUAAUUUAGAAAUGGAUUUAAAAGAAAAAAAAAGGAAGAAAAGCAUGUAUGUGUCAGAAUACAAAAAAAAAAAAAAUACAUUACAAAACGUUCUAUUUAUGUUUAAAAGAGAUAAAAAACAUCAUUGGAAAAAAAAACUAAAAGAAUAUUUAAUUAAAUUUUAUUCUAUUAAAAAUGAAAUUCCUAAAAAAUCAACAGGCGUAUGUUUUGUAUCCUUUAUAGAUACAAAAUCUGUGCAUGAUUGUAUUCACAAUAUUCCAUAUACAGAAAGAAAUAACUGGUUAAUAUAUAAAGCACCACCAAACUAUGAUAUUAUCUGGAAGAAUUUAAAAAACCAUAGUUAUAAAGUUUGUGGUCGAUUUAUUAUACUUAAUGCUAUGUUAGUGUUAGCCAAUACAAUUAUUAUUUUAUCAGUUACUAAUAUUGAUAAUAUAAUAAAAAUAAAAGUCAAGCAAUAUCAAAGCGACAAUCCUGGUUCUGGAAGUCUCAGCUUACUUUUAACAAGUACGUGCAUACAAAAUUGUUUUCGUUUGACCAACCGUGACAAAAUACAUCCACAUAUAUAUAUAUAUAUAUAUAUAUAUAUUUACGCUCAUAUUUUAACACUUUGCAGCUUGGUUUUCACCAUUUAUUGUUAUCAUUAUCAAUAG
ensembl:lncRNA